GUCCUCAGUGGUUCCAGAUGGCUUUGCUGCACUGAGAAGGCACUGGUCUCCUUUCCAGUGGUGAAGGACAGAUGAGAGAAGGGAAAUCCAGAAGGCAGAGAGGAAGGUAAAAAUUGCCUACAACACCAUCAUCCAGAGAUCACCACUAUCAGCAUUCUGGCUGUUCCCCUGCCUUUGGCAUCUCUAUCUCCCAACCUGCUGUGACAUUCACUUUAAGAUCCAGGGUCCUGGUACCCGAACCAGCCACAGAGUGACAUCAGCAGUGUUAGCCAGACCCAGGAUGUGGACAUGCACUGGAAGGGUUCGACUCCAAGGCAAAUCCAGGUGGAGGGUAUGGAGGUGGAGCUACCGUCUGUCACCACACAAACCAUUAAGGAAGCCUUUCCCCUUUAAGGACUGUCAUUGCAGUAGUAACGAGUGGCUCAUUUAGCAGAGAUUCCCAGAGGAAGCAAGGAGAGCGAAGUUGAAUUAUGCCCCAUCUACACAUACCCAGGUAUGUGCUGGAGUUUCAGAAGAUGUAGCCCAGGAAUACCAAGA